CGUUAAAGCGUGCGAUACAUUUUUAAAACCAGUGAUUUAAUUCAAAAUAUUUAGUACCUACAUUUUAACACAUGUUAUAAUUCCAAAUUAUGUGUCCGCUGUGCGGGGAAAAUGAUAAUACAAGCGGAACUACGUAGCUAAUACUGUUGUAACUGGGGAUCCUUAUUGUAGCAACACACUUUUGUAGGGAAGGCAAUCCUGCGCUGCGUUAGCUAAAUUUUCAUGUCAUCGGGUGUAGUUCAUAAAGGUUGAAGAGUGUAUGUUAGGAUGAAGUGUGAAUUCAUGCCAGGAAUAAUAAGUGUGAAGUUUGAUUUCCUCCCUUCUGUAAUAAGCAGCCAAUGAGUUCUCACUGAAGGGGAUAAUUCUCACUGAAACUACUGAAUAAAGCCGCCAGUUAAAAUCA